CUAAGUUUGAUGGCGACCGGCGCACGGGUGAGUAACACGUAUCCAACCUGCCGAUAACUCUGGAAUAGCCUUUCGAAAGAAAGAUUAAUACCGGAUAGUAUACGAAUAUCGCAUGAUAUUUUUAUUAAAGAAUUUCGGUUAUCGAUGGGGAUGCGUUCCAUUAGUUUGUUGGCGGGGUAACGGCCCACCAAGACUACGAUGGAUAGGGGUUCUGAGAGGAAGGUCCCCCACAUUGGAACUGAGACACGGCCCAAACUCCUACGGGAGGCAGCAUG
rnacentral:rRNA from 1 species